GUCAGCAGCAAGGACUUUCUCCCUAUAAUGCGGAAUGGGUGUCCUUCCUCCGGCAAGGUGUCAGGCGCACUUAACAGAAGUGUGACGCUAAUAUCUGCCUGUAGCCAUGAGGCGUUCUUCCCAGCUCUGUCUACACAGGAACCUCUUCUCACGAGGACAGCAGACCUACUGGAUUAGAGCUAGGGUGUUUAUUUUUUAUUUAUUUUAUUUUUUUUUUUUUAGGGUGUUUAAAAUAGAAAAUUUCCCCUGAAGCUUUGCGUGUUGGAGACUCGGUCCUCGGUACCGCAGUGAUCAGCGGUAGGUCUGUCCUGGGAGAAAAUGAACAAACUCCCAGAUGGCUCCCGCUCUGAUGUAUCCAUCUGACCAGAGCAGCAUCCCGGGGACCACCAGACAAAUGCAACAUCUGAAGGUAGACAAUAAACCCUUCACGAGAAGACACCUUCAGAGGAAGAGAAAGCUGAUAACGUGGAGAGAGAGGAAUCAAGACUUUAACUCAUCAAGCUCAGACUUCGGGGAAACAACAAGGACACUAUAUGACUGACCCUAAAACUCUUCUUUACUAAAUUUUUUCUGAAGUAUAAAACAGAAUUUUAACAAUAUUAAAGGCAUUGCUCAGUGGAUUAAAAAAAAUGCUUCUUUCCUGUGUGUGGUGACACACCUAUAGUCCAGCGCUCCAGAGGCAGAGGGUGAAGACCCAUCAUGAGUGUGGGUGGAACCAUCGAUGGACUGACGUCCAGGACUUCACCCCUUUCUCUGCUUCCUGGCUGUAGACUCAGUGUGGCAAGCUGCCUCAAGCUCCUGCCGCCAGACCUUCCCUGCCCCGAUGGACUGUACGCUUAGACCGUGAGACAGAAUCAACCUGGCCUUUCCUCAAGCUGCGUUGGUCCAGAAUUUUGUGAGAAAAGUGACUGAAACACACACUCACUGGCUUCCAUAGUAGCAGCUUUGGACAGAAACAGGCUAACGGUUCUUGAUACUGAAGUGUAUUUACAAAGUGACUCCAAGGAAAUCUUUGUUAGGUGAAAAUUCACAACUACUCAAAAGGAUGAAGGGAUCAAGGUUUCAAAAUAAUUUGUCCAACACCAUGGAAAAAAGUAAGAAAAGUUGGCAUGCAUAGUAUUUUAAUAUGCAACUUACUGUCCCAUCCCUGAAUAUUAUUGUGUCAGGUAGAGUACAUUACUUUUAAAAAAUAUUUAUUUAUUAUGUAUACAAUAUUCUGUCUGUGUGUAUGCCUGCAGGCCAGAAGAGGGCACCAGACCCCAUUACAGAUGGUUGUGAGCCACCAUGUGGUUGCUGGGAAUUGAACUCAGGACCUUUGGAAGAGCAGGCAAUGCUCUUAACCUUUGAGCCAUCACUCCAGCCCCGAGUACAUUACUUUGGAAGAGGUUUAAUUAAAGCUCUUUCCUUUUUAAGUUACCAGAAUAUAUGUUUAAUAAAAAAAUUGUCAUAAUGACAAAAAGACCACUCAGUAGAGCACAGGCAAAGGUCCUAGGAGGGAAAGACCACCCAGUAGAGCAUAGGCAAAGGUCCUGUGAAGGGGAGACCGCCCAGUAGAGCAGAGGCAAAGUGUUGGGAGCUGUGAACCCCCCAGAUCCUGAAUUUCUUUAAACACUUAUUUUCCCCUGAUCUGAGUGCCUACAGCUGCUCUGAGCACGAGACACUCAGGAGUUCCUGAUGGCAGGGGAAUGGUUUCUGGUGGGUUUCAUUGGGGCGUGGCUAUCCCUAUAUAAGCUGCCCCUGGACACACUAAAAGGGAGCAUUCUUGGAGCAUUCUGGAAUCAAGGAUGACCUGUGUCUCUGUCUGUGAGUCUUUGUGUGUUUCGGUCUCCAGCCCCUUGCCCAGUUCACAAACUGUAUGGUGGCACAUAGAGCACAGACGGGCAUGAUGCGCUACAACAAAGAUCCCAGGAAGGGAAGAAACUAAAAACAUUAAUGACUUAAACAUACAGGAAUUCAGAGACAAGCAACAUACAAAACAAAGGUACAGUGAGCUAUCAGAUUGGCAAGAACUAAAAUGCAGUUGCUAACUGCAAGACGUGGUGUGGACCAAUGGAAACUUUCACAUGGCUGUUGGGAGGCUACAUCGAUACAACACUCUGGAAAAAACAUUAUGACAUUAUAUAAUAAAAUUGAUGCAUUUAUACUAUGACUGAGUAUUAAUUAAAGUUCUUAAAGCUGCAAUCAGUCUAAGAAAAUAUCCUUCUACCUUCUAGCAGUGUGAUUCCAAACAGCAAAAUAAUUUGCCUAAGUAAACUCAGAUACAGCAGGUAAUUGUGGACUUUGAAACUAGGUCUCCCAUUUAUUAAGAAUUUAUGUAUCUCAUAAAUUCUUUUAAUUGUAAUUUUCAAACUAAAUAUAUGUUGAUAUUCUUUUUUUUGUUUUUGUUUUUGUUUUGAGACAGGGUCUGAUGUGGCCUAAACUGGUCUAGAAUUUGCUAGAUAGUCAGGGUUAUUCCUUGAAC